GGCGAGAUGGCCGAGCGGUCUAAGGCGCCAGACUAAGGAACUUCCGACAUCUGGUCCGAAAGGGCGUGGGUUCGAAUCCCACUCUCGUCA